UACGGAGGGUGCAAGCGUUGUCCGGAAUCACUGGGCGUAAAGGGCGCGUAGGCGGCUCAUGAAGGCUGUGGUGAAAGUCCGGGGCUCAACCUCGGAUCGGCCGUGGCGACUCGUGGGCUGGAGCACUGUAGAGGCGGGUGGAAUUCCGGGUGUAGCGGUGGAAUGCGUAGAGAUCCGGAAGAACACCAGUGGCGAAGGCGGUUCUCUGGGCCUUACCUGACGCUGAGGAGCGAAAGCGUGGGGAGCGAACAGG
rnacentral:rRNA from 1 species